rnacentral:rRNA from 1 species
ACGCUGGCGGCAGGCUUAACACAUGCAAGUCGAACGGUAACAGGGAUUAGCUUGCUAAUUUGCUGACGAGUGGCGGACGGGUGAGUAAUGCUUGGGAAUCUGGCUUAUGGAGGGGGAUAACUACGGGAAACCGUAGCUAAUACCGCGUAAUAUCGGAAGAUUAAAGGGUGGGACUUUCGAGCCACCUGCCAUAAGAUGAGCCCAAGUGGGAUUAGGUAGUUGGUUAGGUAAAGGCUGACCAAGCCGACGAUCUCUAGCUGGUCUGAGAGGAUGACCAGCCACACUGGAACUGAGACACGGUCCAGACUCCUACGGGAGGCAGCAGUGGGGAAUAUUGCACAAUGGGGGGAACCCUGAUGCAGCCAUGCCGCGUGAAUGAAGAAGGCCUUCGGGUUGUAAAGUUCUUUCGGUGACGAGGAAGGUUGAUAGGUUAAUAGCCUAUCAAAUUGACGUUAAUCACAGAAGAAGCACCGGCUAACUCCGUGCCAGCAGCCGCGGUAAUACGGGGGGUGCGAGCGUUAAUCGGAAUAACUGGGCGUAAAGGGCACGCAGGCGGUGACUUAAGUGAGAUGUGAAAGCCCCGAGCUUAACUUGGGAAUUGCAUUUCAUACUGGGUCGCUAGAGUACUUUAGGGAGGGGUAGAAUUCCACGUGUAGCGGUGAAAUGCGUAGAGAUGUGGAGGAAUACCGAAGGCGAAGGCAGCCCCUUGGGAAUGUACUGACGCUCAUGUGCGAAAGCGUGGGGAGCAAACAGGAUUAGAUACCCUGGUAGUCCACGCUGUAAACGAUGUCGAUUUGGGGAUUGGGCUUUGAGCUUGGUGCCCGUAGCUAACGUGAUAAAUCGACCGCCUGGGGAGUACGGCCGCAAGGUUAAAACUCAAAUGAAUUGACGGGGGCCCGCACAAGCGGUGGAGC